GCCUGAGUGGCCCAGCGGUUUAGCGCCUCCCUUCGGCCCAGGCUGUGACCCUGGAGACCCGGGAUCGAGUCCCGCCUCUGGCU
rnacentral:tRNA from 1 species